CUAUAGCUUGACACUGAACAUUGAGCCUUGAUGUGUAGGAUAGGUGGGAGGCUUUGAAGCGUGGACGCCAGUCUGCGUGGAGCCAACCUUGAAAUACCACCCUUUAAUGUUUGAUGUUCUAACGUUGGCCCCUGACCGGGGUUGCGGACAGUGUCUGGUGGGUAGUUUGACUGGGGCGGUCUCCUCCCAAAGCGUAACGGAGGAGCACGAAGGUUAGCUAAUCCUGGUCGGACAUCAGGAGGUUAGUGCAAUGGCAUAAGCUAGCUUGACUGCGAGCGUGACGGCGCGAGCAGGUGCGAAAGCAGGUCAUAGUGAUCCGGUGGUUCUGAAUGGAAGGGCCAUCGCUCAACGGAUAAAAGGUACUCCGGGGAUAACAGGCUGAUACCGCCCAAGAGUUCAUAUCGACGGCGGUGUUUGGCACCUCGAUGUCGGCUCAUCACAUCCUGGGGCUGAAGUAGGUCCCAAGGGUAUGGCUGUUCGCCAUUUAAAGUGGUACGCGAGCUGGGUUUAGAACGUCGUGAGACAGUUCGGUCCCUAUCUGCCGUGGGCGCUGGAGAAUUGAGGGGGGCUGCUCCUAGUACGAGAGGACCGGAGUGGACGCAUCACUGGUGUUCGGGUUGUCAUGCCAAUGGCACUGCCCGGUAGCUAAAUGCGGAAGAGAUAAGUGCUGAAAGCAUCUAAGCACGAAACUUGCCCCG
rnacentral:rRNA from 1 species